rnacentral:rRNA from 1 species
GACGAACGCUGGCGGCGUGCCUAAUACAUACAAGUAGAACGCACAGUUUAUACCGUAGCUUGCUACACCAUAGACUGUGAGUUGCGAACGGGUGAGUAACGCGUAGGUAACCUGCCUGGUAGCGGGGGAUAACUAUUGGAGACGAUAGCUAAUACCGCAUAAUAUUGAUUAUUGCAUGAUAAUUGAUUGAAAGAUGCUAUUGCAUCACUACCAGAUGGACCUGCGUUGUAUUAGCUAGUAGGUGAGGUAACGGCUCACCUAGGCGACGAUACAUAGCCGACCUGAGAGGGUGAUCGGCCACACUGGGACUGAGACACGGCCCAGACUCCUACGGGAGGCAGCAGUAGGGAAUCUUCGGCAAUGGACGAAAGUCUGACCGAGCAACGCCGCGUGAGUGAAGAAGGUUUUCGGAUCGUAAAGCUCUGUUGUAAGAGAAGAACGGGUGUGAGAGUGGAAAGUUCACACUGUGACGGUAUCUUACCAGAAAGGGACGGCUAACUACGUG